AACGAACGCUGGCGGCAUGCCUAACACAUGCAAGUCGAACGCUCCGCAAGGGGAGUGGCGCACGGGUGAGUAACACGUGGGAACCUGCCUAUCGGUUCGGAACAACGUCUGGAAACGGACGCUAAUACCGGAUAUUCCCUCAGGGGGAAAGAUUUAUCGCCGAUAGAGGGGCCCGCGUCCGAUUAGGUAGUUGGUGGGGUAACGGCCUACCAAGCCGACGAUCGGUAGCGGGUCUGAGAGGAUGAUCAGCCACACUGGGACUGAGACACGGCCCAGACUCCUACGGGAGGCAGCAGUGGGGAAUAUUGGACAAUGGGCGCAAGCCUGAUCCAACAAUGCCGCGUGAGUGAUGAAGGCCUUAGGGUUGUAAAGCUCUUUCGCACGUGACGAUGAUGACGGUAACGUGAGAAGAAGCCCCGGCUAACUUCGUGCCAGCCGCCGCAGUAAUAC
rnacentral:rRNA from 1 species